rfam:Emmonsia parva TAMH 139 supercont1.649, whole genome shotgun sequence.
GCCCUCGUAGCCCAAUGGUAGGGCGUCAGACUUCUACUUUCUGAACUUUCACUUUGAAAUAAGUGAAUCUGAAGGUUGCGGGUUCGAGUCCCGCCGGGGGUA